rnacentral:rRNA from 1 species
AGAGUUUGAUCCUGGCUCAGGAUGAACGCUGGCGGCGUGCCUAACACAUGCAAGUCGAGCGAUUUACUUCGGUAAAGAGCGGCGGACGGGUGAGUAACGCGUGGGUAACCUGCCCUGUACACACGGAUAACAUACCGAAAGGUAUGCUAAUACGAGAUAAUAUACUUUUAUCGCAUGGUAGAAGUAUCAAAGCUCUGGCGGUACAGGAUGGACCCGCGUCUGAUUAGCUAGUUGGUAAGGUAACGGCUUACCAAGGCGACGAUCAGUAGCCGACCUGAGAGGGUGAUCGGCCACAUUGGAACUGAGACACGGUCCAAACUCCUACGGGAGGCAGCAGUGGGGAAUAUUGCACAAUGGGCGAAAGCCUGAUGCAGCAACGCCGCGUGAGUGAUGAAGGCCUUCGGGUCGUAAAACUGUCCUCAAGGAAGAUAAUGACGGUACUUGAGGAGGAAGCCCCGGCUAACUACGUGCCAGCAGCCGGUAAUACGUAGGGGGCUAGCGUUAUCCGGAUUUACUGGGCGUAAAGGGUGCGUAGGUGGUCUCUUAAGUCAGGAGUGAAAGGCUACGGCUUAACCGUAGUAAGCUCUUGAAACUGGGAGACUUGAGUGCAGGAGAGGAAAGUGGAAUUCCUAGUGUAGCGGUGAAAUGCGUAGAUAUUAGGAGGAACACCAGUAGCGAAGGCGGCUUUCUGGACUGUAACUGACACUGAGGCACGAAAGCGUGGGGAGCAAACAGGAUUAGAUACCCUGGUAGUCCACGCCGUAAACGAUGAGUACUAGGUGUCGGGGGUUACCCCCCUCGGUGCCGCAGCUAACGCAUUAAGUACUCCGCCUGGGGAAUACGCUCGCAAGAGUGAAACUCAAAGGAAUUGACGG